UGCACUCAGAUGGACCUGUUCCACAAGGUUUUACAGGAAUGGUCUCCCAAUUUAAGGAACUGGCAAUAGAUGAGUUUGUCAUCAACACAUCAGAGAGUGACAGAUGUAUCAAGAUGAUUUUCUAUAAAAAAGCAGUCCAAACACUAUUAUUGCCAUUUCUUCUUGCCCAUCGUCUGCCAUGUUUGUUAACUCUAAAGUCAUGUUUGACCGUGUUCAGAAUCAGGAAUCUGUUUGUGUGUGGUGUGCUGUCUUGAUCACAUCACAUCACUUGACACACUAUAGGAACAAAACAGUUAAAUCUAUAAUUUUCUAACAUUUUGAAAAUCUGAUAAGAUUUAGAAAAUCUUUUAGUGUGGGCCAGCCUUAAGGUACACUGUGCAGAAGUGCAUCCAGUUGCCUUUGGAGGUUGGUUUUGUUGUCAUUCCCCUACUUAAUGCAGAAGAAGUCUUAAAUUGCAGUUUUAGCAUGGCGUUGUGGUAGUCAUUAAGACUGAGAUAUUUUAGAUAGACCAAAAUUUUUAUCUUGAGGAAAAUUAUUGUUAAUUUAUGUGCAGAUCAUCAUCAUAUUUAGACAAUGGUGACAGUGUCCAGACUGCCAUCUUUUUCUCUGUAGGUGCAUAUACUCAUAUUUGUACUAUUAUUAUCUUGGGCUUGGAACUUGUUAAUAAAGACUUGCGUGCACUCUUUCUUUUAUAGGCCAUGUUUUACAUUGUAGAGUUUCUGGAAACCCAAGAGGUUGGAGUGGUACCAGCACUUGUGGGUUGAAGAUGAAAUCUGUCAGUGGCCAACUCACUACAAACCUGAUGAAUUAGUAAAAGCCAUAUGAAAUGAGGAGCAGCCUGGGCACAAAUGAGAUGCAUAUUGUGUUGGAAUUUUAUAAAAAGCAGGUAUGUACAUAAUUUUUUAUUUUUAUAGCAACCUACAAAACUGCUUGUCUAAAACUUCCUCAAGUGGAAACCCACACUGACCUUCAAACAGCAGAGGAAGAUGACGAGGAUGCCAAUCCAAAGAAAAAGUGGAAAAGGCUGUCCUCAAGCUACGGUAGCCACAAGAGGUAUUGCUGUGGGCAACAACACAUCCAAGGUUCUUUCGCUCUGCUCAGUUUCAACGUGGCAAAUCCUGAUGACUCCACCUACCUCCCCAGCAUAUCUGAAUUGUUUGACACCACCAGUGAACAAGCACCAAACAAGACACCGCAGGACAGAGUGAAAUACUUGAUAUAUGAGGAGUGCCUACUUGAGCUUUUUAAAAUCUGUCCCACCUGCUCAAGAGUCAGCAAGGUGCUCAAUGUAAUGCAUGCGAGAACCUUCAGCAGAAUGACACAUCGAAAUCAUGUGCAUAAAUACAUUCUGCCUUUCGUGCUGUAUAAAUGGCGAUCACACCAGACCAACCUGCUUGAUGGACGAUAACAGAACGAAACUGUAUCUCUUGGUGGUGAUAUGAGAGCUGACAGUUCAGGCCAUUGUGCAAAAUAUGGCUCAUACUCCAUGGAUCUCAGCAUAAUCAAAAUUGUUCAUAUCCAGCUCAUACAGAGUAAUGAAGUGGGAAGCAGUGUCCGUAUGGAAAAGGAAGGGCUUAUCCGGAGUCUGGAAUUUUGAAAAAUCUGGUGUCAAAAUAGCUUCCCUGGUGACAGACUGACACACCCGGGUUUAAAAGUUUGCCUGGGAACAGACCACUUUUAUGAUGUAUGGCAUUUAUGUAAAACACUCACCAAGAAAGCAGACACCAUCUCCAAGGAGAAGAAAUGCAACAAGAUCAAAAUGUUGCAAAAGAGCAU